rnacentral:lncRNA from 1 species
ACUGAUUAGGGAGGUUUCGAUUUAGGUCUCACUCGAUCGCGUAUUCACAUCUCAUGCAAAUAUAAAUCUACUCGCAUAAUCAUAAGCAUUAAACAUCCAGGCAUUUAUCAAAAAUAAAUAUAAUGGUGAUGAUCAUGGAUCCAGGAUGGGGUCAUUUUACAAGCAUAUGCACGUCAAUUGGUUUGAUCAUCUUCAACUCUUGACUCGAUCUU